rnacentral:rRNA from 1 species
GAUGAACGCUGGCGGCGUGCCUAAUACAUGCAAGUCGAGCGAACGGACGAGAAGCUUGCUUCUCUGAUGUUAGCGGCGGACGUGUGAGUAACACGUGGAUAACCUACCUAUAAGACUGGGAUAACUUCGGGAAACCGGAUCUAAUACCGGAUAAUAUUUUGAACCGCAUUGUUCAAAAGUGAAAGACGGUCUUGCUGUCACUUAUAGAUGGAUCUGCGCUGCAUUAGCUAGUUGGUAAGGUAACGGCUUACCAAGGCAACGAUGCAUAGCCGACCUGAGAGGGUGAUCGGCCACACUGGAACUGAGACACGGUCCAGACUCCUACGGGAGGCAGCAGUAGGGAAUCUUCCGCAAUGGGCGAAAGCAUGACGGAGCAACGCCGCGUGAGUGAUGAAGGUCUUCGGAUCGUAAAACUCUGUUAUUAGGGAAGAACAUAUGUGUAAGUAACUGUGCACAUCUUGACGGUACCUAAUCAGAAAGCCACGGCUAACUACGUG